rnacentral:misc_RNA from 1 species
CUUGAGCGGAAAAGCAAGCUCAGCAAGCGCAACGAGGCCUGCUCUUUAUUAGCUCAGCAAACCGAGUCAGUGUAAGGCUUCCUCUCUUUCCCUCUUAUCUCCCUCUAUUCCCUUUUUCAACUCUUGCAAGCUUUUGCAGUUUCCUUCCUAUUUAACAAAACAAGGAAUGGAGAAGAAGAAUCAGGGUACUAGUCAAAGAAACGAAGCAAAAGCAUCCACUUCUGCCCAAAAGAAUUUUGGAGCCAACAUGCUGCAAAUCAAUGGAGACGAUGCUUCCGGCUUAAUUGGUAGCAUAAUCGAAAAGGGUAUUUCAGAAAACCUACAAAGCAAGCUUCUUGCGCCCACUCCGCCCCCAAAAGUCACCGUUUUACCUUUCCCCGUCGCGCGCCACCGGUCCCGUGGACCGCAUUGGGGUCCAAUGAGAAGUGAAAUCGUUGUUAAUGAUGAUAAUGAGGAUGAUGAGGAUAAUGAUUCAACUGAGAUUGACUCAAUGUCAGCUUUUGCAAAUCCAGUGCAGAUGAGGCAGAAAAAGGGUUUGGAUCUUAGUCAAUGGAGAGGGCUAAUCCCAAGUGAUAGUCCAUUGGAGAGAAGUAAGAUGGAAGGAAAUAGGCUAAAGUUGAAGAGCACAGGAAAACAAAAUAAAGAUGGAGUAGUUGAUAAUAAGGACAAGAAAAACAUAUCAUGGCAUCCUCCUCUAGUUGAUAAGACACCAAUGGAAGUGGAUGCAGAUCAGGAUUUAAGUUCUUUUGUGCCUCCAACUAAAAAAGGGGCUAUGCCAAGUGAUAUUGAUACUGGGUCUCUCACUCCAGCUGCUGAUAUGGAAAUAUAUAACUCACAUCAAGUGCAUGUUGAGGAGAAUAUUAGAAAUGCCAGCUCUAUUCUCUCCAAAAGCGAAUCAAGAUCUAUUGAAAACAUGCCUAAUAAUGGUAUAGCUAAAUUAACACAGCUUGAGAAAAAGGAGAAGGUGGAUCCUGCUUUUGGAGAGAUGCUAAUUAAGCGAGGGCAGAAAGCAUCAACAAUGGUUUCUAGCUCUAGUUUAAGCAAUUUUGGAAAGGAACGAGGUUCUUUGUCUCUUGAGAGUGAGAUUGAUACUGAGAAUCAUGCACGUUUAAAGAGCAUGUCCCCUGAAGAGAUUGCAGAAGCACAAGCUGAAAUAAUGGAGAAGAUGGACCCUGCAUUGGUAAACUUACUGAAGAAGCGAGGCCAAGAAAAAUUGAAGCAGCAAUAUCUCUCAAGGUCAGAUAAACCUAUCAGUAAUGAACUCAAUAAUACUCUCAGUGAAAUUCAAACAGCCAAAAGCUCAGAAAUUUCUUCUCAUGUGAGGAGUGAUAGUUCUGAUAUGAUGACAAUAACUACCUCAACAGAUACAAAGAUUGGUCCGGAUAAUGGUUUGGUACAGGAUUUAGGCCCACAUGAUGGCUAUUUGUGGAAUAGUUGGAGUGAGAGAGUUGAGGCUGUACGGAGAUUAAGAUUUGCCCUGGAGGGGAGUGUUAUUACGGAUGAAUCAGAAGCUGGUGAUAUAUCCAUUGACACUAGGGAUAGUGCUGUAAAUGUUACCGAACGUGACUUUCUGCGGACUGAGGGGGACCCUGGUGCAGUGGGUUACACGAUCAAAGAAGCUGUACAACUCACUAGAAGUGUGAUACCGGGACAACGGGCUCUUGCAUUGCAUCUCCUUGCAUCUGUGCUUGAUAAAGCAAUACACAACAUUCAACAGAAUCAAGUUGGGUGCACAAUUAAAAAUGUUAAUCUAGUUGACAAGUUGAUUGAUUGGGAGGCUAUUUGGGCUUAUGCACUUGGUCCUGAACCUGAGCUUGUUUUAUCGUUGAGGAUGUGCCUUGAUGAUAACCAUAGUUCAGUUGUUUUAGCUUGUGCAAGAGUUAUCCAGUGCGCACUGAGUUGUGAUUUGAAUGAGAAUUUCUUUGAUAUCUUAGAGAAAAUAGCAUUCUAUGAGAAGCAUAUCUUCACUGGUCCCGUAUUUCGAAGCAAACCAGAUAUAAAUGUUGGUUUCCUCCAUGGUGGCUUUUGGAAGUAUAAUGCUAAACCUUCUAAUGUUCUAACUUUCACCGACGAUGUCAUUGAUGAUGAGACCGAAGGGAAACAUACAAUUCAGGAUGAUAUUUUUUUUGCUGGUCAAGAUUUUGCUGCUGGUUUGGUUAGGAUGGGAAUCCUUCCUAGGUUGCACUAUCUUUUGGAGGCUGACACUAAUGCAGCCUUGGAAGAAUGCAUAAUUUCUAUACUUGUUGCGAUAGCAAGGCAUUCCCCAACGUGUGCAAAUGCAAUUAUGAAGUGCCAAGGACUUGUCCAUACAGUUGUCCACAAAUUCACUAUGGGAGUCACUACAGAAAUUCAUGCUUCUAAGAUAAAAUCUGUUAGCCUUUUGAAGGUAUUGGCUCAAUCUGACAAGAAGAAUUGCUCAGAGUUCAUAAAGAAUGGUUCUUUUCACGCUAUGAUCCAGCAUUUGUUUCGAUAUACUUCCUCCCUUGACCACUGGGUGAAGUCUGGGAAGGAAAGCUGUAAACUUUCGUCUGCUUUGAUGGUUGAACAACUACGUUUUUGGAGGGUCUGCAUUAGUUUUGGGCUCUGUAUGUCAUAUUUUUCAGAUAUCUUCCCUGCCUUGUGCUUGUGGCUGCAUCCACCUACAUUCAGUAAACUUCAGGAGAACAAUGUUCUUAGUGAAUUUGUUUCUAUCUCUCGGGAGGCAUAUCUUGUUUUGGAGGCUUUGGCUAGGAAACUUCCAAGUUUCUAUUCACAGAAACAUAUAAGCAAUCAAAUCUCAGAUUGUGCCAGUGAUGAGCUGGAAACCUGGUCUUGGAGUUUUGUUACUCCAGUGAUAGAUUUAGCUUUGCAGUGGAUAGCAUCGAAGGACGAUCCUUAUGUUUCUAAUUACUUUGGGAGGGAAAAAGGAAUUGGGACUGACUUUGUUUUCGAAGAUUCAUCUGAUAGUUCUUUGUUGUGGGUGUUUUCAGCUGUCAUGCAUAUGCUUUCUGCAUUGCUUGAAAAAGUAAAGCCAGAGGAAACCCUGAUCCCUCAAGGAAGUAGCAGACAUGUUCCAUGGUUGCCAGAGUUUGUUUCUAAGGUUGGACUUGAAAUAAUUAGAAACCAGUUUUUGAGUAUCAAUGGCACAGAGGAACAAAAAGAUUUUGAUGAAAGUGGCACCUGGAUUAAUGAACUUUGUCGUUUUAGACAGCAUAGUAAAUAUGAGUCAUCCUUAGCUUCUGUUUGUUGCCUUCAUGGACUUCUCCAAGUUAUUACUUCAAUUGAUAACUUGAUCAGCUUGGCUAAAGGUGGUAUCUGUGUCCCUCUGUCCCAAGGAUAUAAUUUCUCAAGCGAAGGGAAAAUUCUUGAGGAUGGGAUUCUGAAGAGGUCUCUGGUUGAAUGGAGAUGUGUGCUCAAUGUUUUUAUGAAGUUGGUGGGAUCAGAGUGGCACUUUAUGCAGUCCAUUGAGAUUUUUGGUAGAGGAGGACCUGCUCCCGGGGUGGGACUUGGAUGGGGUGCCUCUGGUGGAGGAUUUUGGUCAAUGACUGUUUUGUUGGCUCAAACUGAUGCUAGAUUAAUAAUUUACAUGCUUGAAAUCAUCCAGAUGGUGUCUAGCACAGAAUCACCAACAAAUGAAGAGAUGGUCUCUGCUAUGCAUAGGGUUAAUUCUGUCUUAGGGGCAUGCUUAACUAUUGGGCCUACAGAUAGAGUCAUGAUGGAGAAGGCAUUAGACAUUUUGCUUCAAGUCCCUGUUCUCAGGUAUCUUGAUCUCUGUGUACAACAUUUUCUCCUAUUGAAUAAGAGGAUGAAACCAUUUAGAUGGGAAUAUGAAAAAGAGGACUACUUUCUCUUCAGUGAGAUAUUAGCCUCUCACUUCAAAAAUAGAUGGUUGUCUGUCAAGAAGAAAUUGAAAGCCAUAGACGCAAAUAAUUCUUUUCAGAACGGAACUUCUAAGAAGGGUAAUGUUUCUUUGGAAACCAUACAUGAAGACUUGGAAACAUCAAAUAUGCCAAGUCAAGUUCAUUAUUGCACUUCUUUGAUGGUAGAGUGGGCUCACCAGAGAUUGCCACUUCCCAUGCAUUGGUUUCUGAGUCCUAUUUCAACCAUUUCUGACGAUAAACAUGCUGGUCUUCAAAAUGCUUCUAGCAUACCUAAUCUCAUACACGACUCCAGUGUUCUGGUUGAAGUUGCUAAAGGUGGACUUUUCUUGCUGCUAGCUAUGGAAGCCAUGUCCACGUUCCUAUCCAAUGAUGUCUACUCUCCUAUUCGCAAUGUACCUUUGGUUUGGAAAUUGCAUUCUCUAUCCGUCAUAUUACUUGUUGGAAUGGAUGUGCUUGAUGAUAACAAGGGUAAGAAUGUUUAUGAAGCCUUACAAGACAUUUAUGGUCAUAUUCUUGAUGAAGUAAGAUUUACUAAAAGUGCUAAGCACAUUUUGGAUGAAAGCGCAAAUUUAUUGCUGGACACUGAGAAGAAAUGUAGUGUGGACUUUAUGAGGUUUCAAUCAGUGAUUCAUGAGAGUUACUCUACAUUUCUUGAAACACUUGUGGAGCAGUUUGCUGCUGUAUCUUAUGGUGAUCUGAUUUUUGGUCGUCAAGUUUCUGUAUAUUUGCAUCGUUGCACUGAAGCAGCUGUGAGACUUUCUGCCUGGAAUGCACUGUCUAAUGCUCAUGUUCUUGAAAUUCUGCCACCAUUGGAGGAAUGCAUUGCUGAAGCAGAAGGGUACCUUGAACCUAUUGAGGAUAACGAAGGCAUUUUGGAAGCUUAUGCGAAGUCUUGGAUUUCUGGUGCUCUUGAUAGAUCUGUGGCUCGAAGAUCAAUGGCAUUUGCUCUUGUUUUGCACCACCUUUCAUCUUUCAUUUUCCUUGUUCGUAGUCAUGACAAUACAUCUCUACGAAAUAAGAUUGUAAAGUCUCUUUUGAGAGAUUACUCCCAGAAGCAAAAACAUGAGGGAAUGAUGUUGGAACUUGUACAGUAUUGCAAACCAUCUAAAUCUCACCAGCCUGGAGAGUGUAGUUUGUUACUGCAGAAUAGUGACAUUGAGAAAAGGUUUCAAGUGUUAGCGGAUGCUUGCGAUCGAAAUUCCUCACUUUUGGCUGAAGUUGAGAAACUAAGGUCUGCUUUUGUAAAGAAAUUGGAUGCUGUGAAGUAGCUAAGAUCUGAUGUGUAUAGAGGAAGAAGAAGAAAAGAAAGUGUCAUUGGUGAACCUACACUGACAUCUAGCCUGCAUGAAUAUCAUCAGAGUUGGUUGACAUAUCAUGAGAAAUCUAUAAAAGAUAAUUUUCUGUUAAGAAGUUAAAACAGAUGGGGUUCAUAUUCCCACAUGAGGUGAGGUUUGAGAUCAUUUUUUUUUUCUCUGUCAAUAUCAUUUAAAAUUAAAACGGAAAUUAACAAAACCAUUAAAUAUUCAGUAACUCUAAUAGCAAAAAUAUUUUAAUUUUG